CCUACGGGAGGCAGCAGUAGGGAAUUUUCGUCAAUGGGCGCAAGCCUGAACGAGCGAUGCCGCGUGAGAGAAGAAGGCCUUCGGGUCGUAAAGCUCUGUUGCGGGGGAAAAAAGGCAGCAUCAGGAAAUGGGUGCUGACUGAUGGUGCCCCGCCAGAAAGUCACGGCUAACUACGUGCCAGCAGCCGCGGUAAUACGUAGGUGGCGAGCGUUAUCCGGAAUGGUUGGGCGUAAAGGGUGCGCAGGCGGUCCUGCAAGUCUGGAGUGAAACGCAUGAGCUCAACUCAUGCAUGGCUUUGGAAACUGGAGGACUGGAGAGCAGGAGAGGGCGGUGGAACUCCAUGUGUAGCGGUAAAAUGCGUAGAUAUAUGGAAGAACACCAGUGGCGAAGGCGGCCGCCUGGCCUGUUGCUGACGCUGAGGCACGAAAGCGUGGGGAGCAAAUAGGAUUAGAUACCCCAGUAGUC
rnacentral:rRNA from 1 species